rnacentral:rRNA from 1 species
AACGAACGCUGGCGGCAUGCCUAACACAUGCAAGUCGAACGAAAACUUCGGGUCUUGUGGCGCACGGGUGCGUAACGCGUGGGAACCUUCCCUUAGGUUCGGAAUAACUCUCCGAAAGGGAUGCUAAUACCGGAUAAUGUCUUCGGACCAAAGAUUUAUCGCCUUUGGAUGGGCCCGCGUUGGAUUAGCUAGUUGGUAGGGUAAAAGCCUACCAAGGCGACGAUCCAUAGCUGGUCUGAGAGGAUGAUCAGCCACACUGGGACUGAGACACGGCCCAGACUCCUACGGGAGGCAGCAGUGGGGAAUAUUGGACAAUGGGCGAAAGGCUGAUCCAGCAAUGCCGCGUGAGUGAUGAAGGCCUUAGGGUUGUAAAGCGCUUUUACCCGGGAUGAUAAUGACAGUACCGGGAGAAUAAGCUCCGGCUAACUCCGUG